CCUACGGGAGGCAGCAGUGAGGAAUAUUGGUCAAUGGGCGGAAGCCUGAACCAGCCAAGUAGCGUGCAGGAUGACGGCCCUACGGGUUGUAAACUGCUUUUAUACGGGAAUAACGCGCCUUAUGUGUAGGGCUUUGCAUGUACCGUAUGAAUAAGGACCGGCUAAUUCCGUGCCAGCAGCCGCGGUAAUACGGAGGGUCCGGGCGUUAUCCGGAUUUAUUUGGUUUAAAGGGAGCGUAGGCCGGAUGUUAAGCGUGCUGUGAAAGGUUCGGGCUCAACCCGGGCCUUGCAGCGGGGACUGGCGUGCUUGAGGCCGCGGAAGGCAGGCGGAAUUCGUGGUGUAGCGGUGAAAUGCUUAGAUAUGACGAAGAACCCCGAUUGCGAAGGCAGCUUGCUGCAGCGGAACUGACGCUGAUGCUCGAAAGCGUGGGUAUCGAACAGGAUUAGAUACCCUGGUAGUC
rnacentral:rRNA from 1 species